rnacentral:rRNA from 1 species
UACGUAGGGUCCGAGCGUUGUCCGGAAUUACUGGGCGUAAAGAGCUCGUAGGUGGUUUGUCGCGUUGUUCGUGAAAACUCACAGCUCAACUGUGGGCGUGCGGGCGAUACGGGCACACUAGAGUACUGCAGGGGAGACUGGAAUUCCUGGUGUAGCGGUGGAAUGCGCAGAUAUCAGGAGGAACACCGGUGGCGAAGGCGGGUCUCUGGGCAGUAACUGACGCUGAGGAGCGAAAGCGUGGGGAGCGAACAGG